CUCAGACCGGUUCUGGAGACAAAAGGGGCCGCGGCGGCCGGAGCGGGACGGGCCCGGCGCGGGAGGGAGCGCAGCACCGCGGGCAGCGAGCGAGAUGCAGCACCGAGGCUUCCUCCUCCUCGCCCUCCUCACCCUGCUGGCGCUCACCACCGCGGUGGCCAAAAAGAAAGACAAAGUGAAGAAGGGCGGCCCGGGGAGCGAGUGCGCUGAGUGGACCUGGGGGCCCUGUACCCCCAGCAGCAAGGACUGCGGCGUGGGUUUCCGCGAGGGUACCUGUGGGGCCCAGACCCAGCGCGUCCGGUGCAGGGUGCCCUGCAACUGGAAGAAGGAGUUUGGAGCCGACUGCAAGUACAAGUUUGAGAGCUGGGGAGCGUGUGAUGGGGGCACGGGCACGAAAGCCCGCCAGGGCACCCUGAAGAAGGCGCGGUACAACGCCCAGUGCCAGGAGACCAUCCGCGUGACGAAGCCUUGCACCCCCAAGACCAAAGCCAAGGCCAAAGCCCGUUCCUGAUUCACAGCAGCCCAGAGAGGACCUCAGGGCAGAGGUGAAUCAGCCCACUUCUUAGGUGAGGAGGCCGAGGCUGGCUGAGGGCUGCCGGGGCCAAGAGCCGAAGGUUUUCUGAACUUCAGUGAAAGUAGAGGUUGGCGUGGGGCAGGUCCAGCAUCAAUAUGGCUGCACUGUCCCACUGGCCACCAGCCAAGAAAGGGAAGGGAAAGGACUAGCGGCCGCGUCUGCAUGCCGAGGAGCCCGUGCCCUCCCUCCCACAGGGCCAGGAUCGAACCUACCAGUGCCUUUUAUCUACUCGUUAGCUUUAUCAAUCAUUCCCUGCUUCUUCCCUUUCACUUCUCCACCCCCAAGCGUCCCAAAUGGGGAGGGACAAGGCAGUGUGGACCGCUUGAGCCUCCUGCCCCAGAGGGAUGUAAUUCCCCGUACCCCCUUUUCUUCCCCACAAAGAUGCCAUUACUAAGAAACAAAUAAACUGUUGUGUUGUUGUUUUUCCCAAUAAAAGCUUUUCUUUUAAUAUAUAAAAGCCCCUUC